GACGAACGCUGGCGGCGUGCUUAACACAUGCAAGUCGAGCGGUAAGGCCCUUUCGGGGGUACACGAGCGGCGAACGGGUGAGUAACACGUGGGUGACCUGCCCUCAGCUCUGGGAUAAGCCUGGGAAACCGGGUCUAAUACUGGAUAUGACUCCAUGACGCAUGUUGUGGGGUGGAAAGCCUUGUGCGGCUGAGGAUGGGCCCGCGGCCUAUCAGCUUGUUGGUGGGGUGAUGGCCUACCAAGGCGACGACGGGUAGCCGGCCUGAGAGGGCGACCGGCCACACUGGGACUGAGACACGGCCCAGACUCCUACGGGAGGCAGCAGUGGGAAUCUUGCGCAAUGGGCGAAAGCCUGACGCAGCGACGCCGCGUGAGGGAUGACGGCC
rnacentral:rRNA from 1 species